rnacentral:rRNA from 1 species
CAGUCGCCGCGGUAAUACGUAGGGUGCGAGCGUUGUCCGGAAUUAUUGGGCGUAAAGAGCUUGUAGGCGGUCUGUCGCGUCUGCUGUGAAAACCCGAGGCUCAACCUCGGGCCUGCAGUGGGUACGGGCAGACUAGAGUGCGGUAGGGGAGAACGGAACUCCUGGUGUAGCGGUGGAAUGCGCAGAUAUCAGGAAGAACACCGAUGGCGAAGGCAGUUCUCUGGGCCGUAACUGACGCUGAGGCACGAAAGCGUGGGGAGCAAACAGGAUUAGAUACCCCGGUAGUCCCUGUCUCUUAUAC